AGUAUCUAUAUAGUUGAAGUUAUGUAAAUAGUGAGUCUGCAAACGAUGCAGUUAAAAAUAAAAACUGUGUGUACAUAGUGUAUACGAAUUUAUCGACACAAAAAAACCAAAACAAUGAAUAAAUCAAUUAAAAAAAAUACCUGCAACUGUAUGUAUACUCGUAAUAACAAUAUUUAUAAAUAAAUAAAUAAAGUUUUAUUAUUAACAAAAUAUUAAGAUGACAUCUUGUGUGAUAAUUAGUCAUUGCCCCCCACUACUCCAACAGGACUGACGUCUGACAUAGUGACAUUGAUAUCAGCUGAGGGGCGGUUGGCGGGGGGUCCAAAUGUCAACAUGACCAAUGAACAACACAAUAAUUAUUUUGGAUAAAUAUAAAGAAUAAUUAUUGAAUAAUAUUAAUAUUUUAAUUAAAUAAUUAUAAUAACAAAAUAACAAUAUUAAAAUUUAAGGAAUUUUAUUUAAAAAAAACAAUUAAAAAAUAUUAUUUUUGAUAUAGAGGGCACUGAGUGUCUUAUGGCCCCCAACGAUGAUGUCAUGAUGACGCAGUAUUUAUUUAGUCGCGUUCAAAAUAAGUUGCAUUUUUUUCGGUCAAAAAAAUAAUCAACAAGUUUUUUUAUUAAUUAGUUUUGGGAUAAAUAAUUUAUUUAGUAAUGAGUUUGGAGUGUUGAGUGAUUGAUUUUAGGUUGAAAUUGAAUAUUUGAAACUUGGGCAACAUCAUUGCAAAAGGAAAAAAUAAAAAUUUGCAAGUUGUGAAAGUUAUGUUGCUCCAAUAGUGCAGCAAGAGUAUGAUUGUUCAAUAUGUACAACAUAUCCAGGAUGACAACAUGAUGAUCCAAGUGAACCAAGAGAGCUUUCAGUAUCACAAGAUGCCAAAAAAAGUUGCACAAUUUUGUUGCUUUAAUAAUGUAACAAGAGUGAUGUUCUUCAACAUGUUCUGGAUGACAAGAUGGCGAUUCAAGUGGACCAAGAAAAUUGUCAGGAUCAUAUCCAAGGACAAAUCAGCAUUG